rnacentral:rRNA from 1 species
AUUGAACGCUGGCGGCAGGCCUACCACAUGCAAGUCGAACGAGUGGCGGACGGGUGAGUAAUGUCUGGGAAACUGCCUGAUGGAGGGGGAUAACUACUGGAAACGGUAGCUAAUACCGCAUAACAUUGGAUUUGCCCAGAUGGGAUUAGCUAGUGGGUGGGGUACAGGCUAACCAAGGCGACGAUCCCUAGCUGGUCUGAGAGGAUGACCAGCCACACUGGAACUGAGACACGGUCCAGACUCCUACGGGAGGCAGCAGUGGGGAAUAUUGGACAAUGGGCGCAAGCCUGAUGCAGCCAUGCCGCGUGUAUGAAGAAGGCCUUCGGGUUGUAAAGUACUUUCAGCGGGGAGGCGUUACCCGCAGAAGAAGCACCGGCUAACUCCGUGCCAGCCGCCGCGGUAAUAC